AUACGUAGGUGACAAGCGUUAUCCGGAUUUACUGGGCGUAAAGGGCGUGUAGGCGGUCUUGCAAGUCAGAAGUGAAAUUCCUGAGCUCAACUCGGGCGCUGCUUCUGAAACUGCAGGACUUGAGUGCUGGAGGGGAUAGCGGAAUUCCUAGUGGAGCGGUAAAAUGCGCAGAUAUUAGGAAGAACACCGGUGGCGAAGGCGGCUAUCUGGAAAGUACCUAAGGCGUGAGCGCGAAAGCGGGGGGAGAAAGCAGGAUUAGAUACCCUGGUAGCCCACGCCGUAAACGAUGAAUACUAGGUGUAGUGGGUAUCGACUCCCUCUGUGCCGCAGUUAACACAAUAAGUAUUCCGCCUGGGGAGUACGGCCGCAAGGUUGAAACUCAAAGGAAUUGACGGGG
rnacentral:rRNA from 1 species